ACUACGGGAGGCAGCAGUGGGGGAUAUUGCACAAUGGGGGAAACCCUGAUCCAGCGACGCCGCGUGAGUGAAUAAGUAUUUCGGUAUUUAAAGCUCUAUCAGCAGGGUAGAAAAUGAAAGUACCUGACCAAGAAGCCCCGUCUAACUACGUGCCAGCACCCGCGGUUAUACGUAGGGGGCAACCGUUAUCCGGAUUUAAUGGGUGUAAAGGGAGCGUAUUCGGUUAGGUAAGUCUGGAGUGAAAGCCCGGGGGCUAACCCCGGGACUGCUGUGGAAACUGUGUAACUGGAGUAGAGGAGGGGCAGGCGGAAUUCGUGGUGUAGCGGUGAAAUGCGUAGAUAUCAGGAGGAACACCGGUGGCGAAGGCGGCAUGCUGGACUGAAACUGACGUUGAGGCUCGAAAGCGUGGGGAGCAAACAGGAUUAGAUACCCGAGUAGUA
rnacentral:rRNA from 1 species